rnacentral:tRNA from 1 species
CGUAGUAUAGCUUAACCAAAGCACCCCGCUUACACCGGGGAGAUAUCUGUGAAACUCAGAUUACCCCGA